CUACGGGAGGCAGCAGUGGGGAAUAUUGGGCAAUGGGGGAAACCCUGACCCAGCAACGCCGCGUGAGGGAAGAAGGUUUUCGGAUUGUAAACCUCUGUCCUUGGUGACGAAGGAAGUGACGGUAGCCAAGGAGGAAGCCCCGGCUAACUACGUGCCAGCAGCCGCGGUAAUACGUAGGGGGCAAGCGUUGUCCGGAAUGACUGGGCGUAAAGGGCGUGUAGGCGGCCGAUUAAGUCUGGAGUGAAAGUCCUGCUUUCAAGGUGGGAAUUGCUUUGGAGACUGGUUGGCUUGAGUGCGGAAGAGGCAAGUGGAAUUCCCAGUGUAGCGGUGAAAUGCGUAGAGAUUGGGAGGAACACCAGUGGCGAAGGCGACUUGCUGGGCCGUAACUGACGCUGAGGCGCGAAAGCGUGGGGAGCGAACAGGAUUAGAUACCCCGGUAGC
rnacentral:rRNA from 1 species